rnacentral:miRNA from 1 species
GCUGAUUGCACUUUCUGUUUUAGUCUUGGUGUGACUGUUUUUGUCGAAACACCUGGAUUUUGUGGAGGCAUUUUAGACAAAAAUAGUCACACCAAGACCAAAACAGAAAGUGCAAUCGGC